rnacentral:rRNA from 1 species
UCCCCUAGUAACGGCGAGUGAAGCGGGAUGAGCUCAAAUUUGAAAUCUGGCUGGUUUUACUGGUCCGAGUUGUAGUUUAUAGAGGUGUUUUCGGUGGCAGCCUGGGUAUAAAUCCUUUGGAAUAGGGUAUCAUGGAGGGUGAGAAUCCCGUCUUUGACCCAGGUUCAUGCUACUAUGUGAUACAUCUUCAAAGAGUCGAGUUGUUUGGGAAUGCAGCUCUAAAUGGGUGGUAAAUUUCAUCUAAAGCUAAAUACAGGCGAGAGACCGAUAGCGAACAAGUACCGUGAGGGAAAGAUGAAAAGAACUUUGAAAAGAGAGUUAAACAGUGCGUGAAAUUGUUGAAAGGGAAACGUUUGAAGCCAGCCGUGCGGGCGGAAAAUCAGCCUAGCUGUGGUGGGGAGCUAUUGGAGGUUCGGAGCGCAAGCCCGGCCUUUGGUGGCAUCUUUGUCACAAUGGGUGCACUUUUUCGUUUGCAGGCCAACAUCAGUUUGCUUCGCUGGAAAAGGCCUUGAGGGAAUGUGGCAGCUUUGGCUGUGUUAUAGCCCUGAGGAGAUACAGUGGAGUGGACUGAGGAGUCGCAGCGUGUGCUUUCGGGCAAGGUAGACUGGGUGCUGUGGGAUGGGGCGAGGUACAAUGCAUGCAUUUUGCUUCGUCUUUUCUGUCCUGCACUCGCUCAUCUCUACUCUUCCACGCUUAGGAUGUUGGCAUAAUGGAUUUAAACGACCCGUCUUGAAACACGGACCAAGGAGUCUAACAUAUAUGCGAGUGUUUGGGUGGCAAACCCAUGCGCGAAAUGAAAGUGAACGUAGGUGCGAUCCGCAAGGUGCAGCAUCGACCGAUCUUGAAUUUUUAGGAUAGAUUUGAGUAAGAGCAUAUAUGCUGGGACCCGAAAGAUGGUGAACUAUGCCUGAAUAGGGUGAAGCCAGAGGAAACUCUGGUGGAGGCUCGUAGCGAUUUCUGACGUGCAAAUCGAUCGUCAAAUUUGGGUAUAGGGGCGAAAGACUAAUCGA